GGGCGGUUAGCUCAGUUGGCUAGAGCGCCACGUUGACAUCGUGGAGGUCGCUGGUUCAAGUCCAGUACCGCCCA
rnacentral:tRNA from 3 species